GCGGCCAGGUGUGGAGGGAACAGAGUCAUCUCAUCUCUUUACCUGGGGUCGCCUGCUUCCUGAAAUGCAUGCCGCCUGUGGGGGUGUGUGUGUGUUUGAAGGAAUCCCCAUGCAAGGGAGGUUUGUGUAACCUUUUGCUGAAAUGCUAAAUCAAGUACCUGCCUUGCAUACCAACGAAAUAAAGAGCCGUCGUUGAUUGGGGCGAGGUGUGGGCGGCUCGGGAUACACGCUGUCAAAAGUGGGCAGAUGAAAGUUGGGAAUAAGCACCAGCGAUCCCCCCUCUUUUUCUCCGGCAGCCACCCCGUUUUUGAUGAAUUGAACUCUAUAGGGACCUUGACAAAGACCAUCUCUGGAAGCACUUAGCAGCCCACACCACUUUCAAGCCCUCUACUCCAACCCCACUUUUCUCCCACCCGCACCCUCCGAUUAAUGAAUGCGGGCUGCAGAGUUCGAGGGAUCGCCUCCAGCUCCUCAGUUAGAUCACUUCGUUUUAGGCUAGGUGACGGCUAACUUUAGAGUUAGCCGAGUAGUGACAAAUGCGUCCAAACUCCCCAAUUGAAGUCUCCGCAACUGAAGCAAGCGCUAGUGAAGUCCCUUUGUCAACUGAUGGGAGGAAACGGGGUCUGGUUAGUUAAACAGGGUGGCAGCUUGGUGUGGCGUGGAAUUGUAAUCAUCCACGAGGAAAACUGAGCUGGCGUGUUAACACAGGAGAGGGCAAACGCAAAAGACGGCGUGUGUGUGCGCGCGCGCCUGUUUUUACCUCGAUCCAUAUAUUUGGAAGUCUCUGUCCCAUUCCAAUUGAACUUAAAUUAGGAUUGCCGCCCUGUCUCAAGUGUGUAAAAUGGUCCUCUUGUGUGAUUUUCCACUCAAAGCACCAUUGGACUGACUCAGAAAUGUCUGAACCUCAUGAGCUUCAGAUCUGUUUAGGCAAAGGCAAGGCAGAAGCAAUAUACACACAGUUAUGCCAAGUUCAAGCCAGAAAUUGUGGAAGUUGGGCAUAUGUUCUGUACCUGAUCAUCUUUUAAAAAGAAAAAUAACACGCAAACACUUCUUGAGUUAAAUCGGAAAUGCUAACCAGACAUCUCUCCUGUCACGUUUAAAGACAAAAGGUGGUGCGAGGGAAUUCUUGACGAGGCAAAGAAAAUUGCCCCUUUGCUCUUCGCCUCUUCCUUUUCCAAGUUAGCGUACUUUAAAAUCCCCACCUUGAAAAGAGGGGUAACGAAGUAAAACAGAACUUUAAAAUUAAUGCAAUGCAGAAUUAACUCCACAACUUGCUGCCAGAAGUUAAGCAUAGUGAUGUUGGUUUCUGUUCUCGGGAAUCAUCACAGCACAUCUGUAUUAAGAUGACACCCCAGUCUUGCGCCCAUUUCUUGGAAGCAAAACCAGAUGACUUUUGUGGACGCUAAGUCCGGAAUUUGUGAUGGAGCAGGAGUGCGAGAUGUAUAUAGAAUCCAAGAGACUGCGAUUCUUAAAACGUUUAGGUAGAAGCGAAGUCAGUGACACCGUGUUUACCUACACGUCUUUAAGAUGGCGAUAAGAAAUGAAAGCAAUAACUCGGUCCCCAACCCAAUAGAGGCGUAAUUGGAAGUAAUUUGGGUUCCAUGGGACAGUCCACGGGGCCAAGACCAAAACGCACUGAAGUAAAAAGCAAGCAUCCCUGGAAAGGAGGGUAUAUACCAUGGGACCAACUUUCAGAUGAGUGUUCCCAGGAUCGGCAUAAACUAAACGGUGACUGAAACAAAACAACCUUGUUUAUACUGAGUAGUGGGGAAGGUUGAAUACCUUAACGUUAGAACAGCUUUCUCUGCCAAACUGCCUGCAGAAAACGGUUGCAUUCAAGAAAAACACAUCGGAAAAAAGGAAAGAGUUCUGGAGGAAAAGUGACUGAAAUGGUUUCACCUUAGCAGUCAGUAACCACCACAGCUCUGUAGCGACCGUUUCUUUAUUAUUUGAAAAUGUUAAUAAAUCAGUGUCUGGGUGUAAUGUC